UACGUAGGGACCAAGCGUUGUUCGGAUUUACUGGGCGUAAAGGGCGCGUGAGGCGGCGGUGGUAAGUCACAUUGUGAAAUCUCUGAGCUUAACUCAGAACGGCCAAGUGAUACUGCUGUGCUAGAGUGCAGAAGGGGCAAUCGGAAUUCUUGGUGUAGCGGUGAAAUGCGUAGAUAUCAAGAGGAACACCUGAGGUGAAGACGGGUUGCUGGGCUGACACUGACGCUGAGGCGCGAAAGCCAGGGGAGCAAACAGG
rnacentral:rRNA from 1 species